UGCUCGGGAUACCUUAGUGGCGCACGGGUGAGUAACGCGUGGGAAUCUGCCCCGGAGCGGGGAAUAACAGUUGGAAACGACUGCUAAUACCGCAUACGCCCUCAGGGGGAAAGGCUUCGGCCACUCUAAGACGGUCCCGCGUCUGAUUAGCUAGUUGGUGAGGUAAUGGCUCACCAAGGCGACGAUCAGUAGCUGGUCUGAGAGGAUGACCAGCCACACUGGGACUGAGACACGGCCCAGACUCC
rnacentral:rRNA from 1 species